GUGGUGGUGAUGGUGGAAAUAACAACAAAAUCCAUGGAGAGAGAACCGAAGCUCCAGAGAAAACCGAAGCCCCAGAGACAAUUGAAAUUGUGAAGGGGUCAGGAGUGUUUUGCAAAAGAGAUGCGUGGAAGGCAUCCAUCCAUACCACCUCUGGCACAGCAAUGGUGCGAACUCUCCUCCUCGGCACAAAGAAUGGUUGAGAAAUAAACAGACGUGCGAUCACCGCUAAAUGCACUUUAAUACAGGGGUAUCUUCUCUUGCACUUUAGGUAGCUCUUUUUUUGCAGCUCUUUUAUCUCCUCCUGUACUUUAUAUGUCGUAGCUGUUACAUUGUACUACCUUGUGGUAAAUGCUUGUAUGCUGCUCAUGUAGAGUUAUAUUUGUAUUUAUUCAUGUUAGCAAACUAUGGAUAAGCUUAAAAUAGGAAUACUUUGGGUAAAACUGUGAGCUGGAUUUGGGGCCUGUUGACAUGUGUUUUUGAGGACAAAGGAAGAUGGGGGAAGGUGAGAGCAUGUCUUGAUUUGCAUUCACCUUAGAUCUUGCUACAGUGAUUGGGGAAACCUAAGAUUUGAGGUGUUAGUGAUAUUUGGGGCUGCCAAUCAAGGAGGUCCGAAUGGGAGGAUCUGAUAACUCCUCCCAUUGUCAAAGAGUAUGAACACAGACACACACGCGGUGUUCAGUCUCUUUCCUCUGGCUGGCUCACGUGCAGGUAAA